UACAGAGGGUGCGAGCGUUGUCCGGAAUCACUGGGCGUAAAGGGCGCGUAGGCGGCUUGAUAAGCGUGCGGUGAAAGCCCGGGGCUCAACCCCGGGUCGGCCGUGCGAACUGUCGAGCUGGAGCACUGUAGAGGCAGGUGGAAUUCCGGGUGUAGCGGUGGAAUGCGUAGAGAUCCGGAAGAACACCGGUGGCGAAGGCGCCUGCUGGGCAGUGGCUGACGCUGGAGGCGCGACAGCGUGGGGAGCAAACAGG
rnacentral:rRNA from 1 species